CUCUGCUGCUGGUUUUGGGUACCAGGUGGUUCAAAGACAAUCAGAUUUGCUCGUCAGUGCUCCCCUUGAACAGUAUUCACAAAAUGGAAGAGGAAAAGUAUAUAGCUGCACCACAUCUUCCCCAAACUGCCAAAAUAUCCAAAUUGAUGCACCCGAUUUUGCAGUAAACAUGUCUCUUGGUCUGACAAUGAAAAGCGAUCCCGCGACACAAAACACU